rnacentral:rRNA from 1 species
CCUACGGGGGGCAGCAGUGAGGAAUAUUGGUCAAUGGGCGAUGGCCUGAACCAGCCAAGUAGCGUGAAGGAUGACUGCCCUAUGGGUUGUAAACUUCUUUUAUAAAGGAAUAAAGUCGGGUAUGCAUACCCGUUUGCAUGUACUUUAUGAAUAAGGAUCGGCUAACUCCGUGCCAGCAGCCGCGGUAAUACGGAGGAUCCGAGCGUUAUCCGGAUUUAUUGGGUUUAAAGGGAGCGUAGAUGGAUGUUUAAGUCAGUUGUGAAAGUUUGCGGCUCAACCGUAAAAUUGCAGUUGAUACUGGAUAUCUUGAGUGCAGUUGAGGCAGGCGGAAUUCGUGGUGUAGCGGUGAAAUGCUUAGAUAUCACGAAGAACUCCGAUUGCGAAGGCAGCCUGCUAAGCUGCAACUGACAUUGAGGCUCGAAAGUGUGGGUAUCAAACAGGAUUAGAUACCCGAGUAGUC